AGUAGACGCCAAUGCAAUAGAUAGAGUUCUGCUUCGAUCUUCCAAGCCAUCCCUGCAUGCCAAUGUUGACUGUAAUGCACUUACUGCUGCAAUUGUCAGCCGACAGAUAUCAGUGGUUAGAUUGCUGUUGCAGGUUGGCGUCAGGAUGGACACUAAGGUGAGGCUGGGAGCCUGGUCUUGGGACAUGGAUACAGGUGAAGAAUUCCGAGUUGGUGCUGGGUUAGCCGAG
rnacentral:misc_RNA from 1 species